CACCCGAUGACUGAAAGCAAGUAUAGGUCUUUUAAACCUAUCAUAGUAGAGGCGCCUACUUCUGGUGG
rnacentral:tRNA from 1 species